AAGAUUUGACACAGCUAUACAACCCCAAAUCAGAAAAAGUUGGGACAGUAUGGAAAACACAAAGAAAAAAAGAAAGUAGUGAUUUCUAAAUGUACUUUGACUUGUAUUUCAUUGCAGACAAUACAACAGCACAUAAUUUAAUGUGUUCCUCA